GCCCUCGUAGUAUAAAUCAAUACACUGGCCUUGUAAACCAAAAAUGGAGUACUCACCCCUAGGGCA
rnacentral:tRNA from 1 species